GGUCUUAUAGUCAAUAAUGAUAUAAAAUUGCAAAUUUUAAGGAGUAAGUUUAAAAUACUAAGGCUU
rnacentral:tRNA from 1 species